UUGUGGGGAAGGUACCAGAAGGAGUGGACCAAUAUUGUCCAUCUUAACACCAGACCUUGGGAUAAUACAAAUAUUGGGAUGUGUGAAAUUUGAAGACAAUCGGACUCUUACAUCACAUUUUAUGAGAGUUAUAAUUAUUAAAAAUUUUGACCAUUUGUGGGGGAGGUACGUGAUAGAGUGGAACGAUAUUGUCCAUUUUCGCACCUAACCUAGCACUGGUGAAAAUAUUAAGAUUUGCAAAUUUGGAGCAAAAUCGGAUUUUACUUCCGCUUUCUGUGCAAAAAAUAUUUUUUUUGAAAAUUUCGACCUUUGUGGGGAAGGUACCAGAAGGAGUGGACCGAUAUUUCCCAUCUCCGAACUCGAUGUGAGUUCGACAAAAAUAUUACGAUGUACCAAGUUUGGAUAAAAUCGGAUACUCCCUUCGAGAGUUAUCAUGCGCACCAGCCAGCCAGACAAACAGACAGACGGACGGAAGGACAUCGCUAGAUCGACUCCAAAUGUUCUGAAAUGGAUUUGGUUCAAAGAGACCUAGGGUCUAAAACCGUUAUUUCGACUAGGCACGUUUUGACCGUAUCAAAUGGUAUAUACCCUCUGUAGCCAUAUGGCUGAGGGUAUAAUUAUGGCGUUUGACGUUGUUGCUGUCUGUUUAUCUUACCCUCUAUGUUGAAGGGGAUAAAAAAGCCCAGAAGAUAUUCUUUCUUUAGUAGAAGUUAAGAAGAUCCCCAAAAGACCUGCCAAGGUGUCUCAAAUUCUCCAAGGACCUAAAUUUCUUUUUGUGAUGCACACCAAAACCCCACUGUGUCCCCACCGACAUUUAAUCAAAUUCCAAGCUCCAUCCACCUACAAAGCAUGAAAGCUUAUCAUUUCGAUAGGCUGUAUGGAAUUCGAAAUAUAUCAAAUAUUAAUCGCUGGGGCCAUACUCACCGUGCCAUCGUUAUCUCGCAUAAUAAAUAUGCUUUGCACCAACAGAUAAACGGCAAAGCCGACAUUUAUUAUCCACAAAACGAAGCCCUUGAAUGUCAGCAACAUCAUUGAGAUGGCAGCAAUUGUGGCGGCCAGAACCUGGGCAGCUUGUGGUUGUAUCUCACCAGCAUAAGCCGAGCUAAGAUUAUAAUCGGCAGCCUCUGCCCGGAAACGUCCAUAGUCUACGCCAAAGAUAACACCCAAAACAAAG